CGCGUGGCACACACGUUUACUGCGAGGACAACGAAGCGAUGGAACCGUAUCUUUGGAGGACUGAUUACAUCACCACCAAAAUAAGCAAUUAACUUGGAAUAAUGUUGUGCGUGUUUGGACUGUUCGAGAUUAUCGUUCGAGUUGGAGUGAGGCUACAUCAUACAAACAUCAUCAUCAUCGUGAAAGCGAGGAGGGCCGCGUCGCCGCCGUCGCUGACGUGCACGAGGUGUACACCAAGGGGGACGACGAGAAGGCUGAAGACCCGGGGAAGACUUUCGCAACGUUCCCGUUUUGCGCCGUCAGGCGACUCGCGUGCGGAUGGAGGAUCGCGCUGGGAGCUAAACGGACGAUUUCGCGCUGCCAGCCGGACAGGACAGGACGAUGUCAUUGUCAUUGAGUGUCGCGUUUCCUUAUACGUUGAUACGAGAGUGCGAGUGAAUUACGAAGACAGAAGGGGGUGGAAGGGGCGAGAAGAGUGGCAGAAAACCGAGGGACCAAGAGAGGGAGAAAAGAGUGCAUCAAAUGCGUGUGAGAUGGAUGAUACGCCAAAGAAAAGCGAAGCAGUGCUAAUAUAUGGAUGCCCAUGGGUGGAACUUGGCCGAAAUGUGCCAGCGUUACCAUCACGCUAUUCCGGCAGCGGCGGCGGCGCAGAAUUCCUCGCCAGCUAGGGAUCCUGCCAUCGUCCAAGGCCUGUCAACAGCCCCCCAUAUCGAUCAAGCCAGUCCGUCUUACUCUCACUACACGAUGCUGGACAAUUAUGACAGGAGUGAGGUGACACCGCCACCCCCGGUGAGCGGUUACGGCGGCUCGCCCGGACUCUUGGCACUCCAUUCCUCGCUUUACGCGACUCCCACGUCGAGGACCUACGACAUCGACUCCGGCAUCGACGGCAAUGACAGUUCGAUGCCCAUCGAUACCCAAAUCAUCUCGAUCCCGAACAUGCUGAGCGGUCCGGCGCAACAGCGGCUGGAGGACAUGCCGUGGCUGGCUUCCGGUUCGUCGUUGGAAUACCAGCCCGGCAUCUCGCCGAUCCCUGCGGGAGUGAAGAUGUGCCAUCCUGGCGGCACUGCCCAGAGGAGUCUCAAGGAGCAACGGAUACGUCGUCCGAUGAACGCGUUCAUGGUCUGGGCAAAGGUCGAGCGCAAGAAGCUGGCCGACGAGAAUCCGGAUCUCCACAACGCCGAUCUCAGCAAGAUGCUCGGAAAGAAAUGGCGGGGGCUGACGCCGCAAGACAGAAGGCCCUACGUCGAGGAGGCCGAGAGGCUCCGGGUCAUACACAUGCAGGAACAUCCAAAUUACAAGUACAGGCCGCGGCGCAGGAAGCACGCGAAACGGACACCCGGUGGACCGGCCUCGCCUCCCUCGGCGACCAACACCGCGGGCAACAGGUCCAACCCUACCGGCCCGACGAUUCAUCAUUCCAUGUCCAAGAUGGACAGUUACCAGGGCAUACCUCAGAUCCCGUGGGGUGGCCAUUCCCCGAUCUCAUCCUUAUACCAUCAACAGCAGCAGCAGAGUAUCCAGGAAUACAAGUCGGAAAAUAAUUCGCUUUACGGCAGCCCGUACACGCCCAUCAUUCACACCCCGGACAUAUCUCCGGUAGCGAGUCCCGAGCCUGACGGUGACGGCGGCCAUCUAUCGUCUGCUCAGAAUCCGGAUCCGGAACGAGAUCUGAUGGAGGGUACCUCGAAGCAGCACGGAGAUAUGACCGAUCAGACGAAGCGAUACACCUUUAUGAGCGGUGACAGUCAACUGCACACGGGUCACGCUAGUAAUACUAGCGUAUCGUCGUGUCAGAAUUCCGGCGGUUAUACGGAUACUUUAACGUAUAAAAAAUCCGUGGGUUACUUAAACUUUGAGAGACAGUCGACGAGCAUAGCCGCGGUGGGUAUCGCGAACGGUAUGAUGGUGUCAUGCAACAAACUGCGCUCUGGUUUUGACAACGUCGGCUCCGUCACGGGUACGUUUUAUCCGCCGGUCGCCUCGCCGCACGAUCAAUCGUUGCAGCAUUACAGCAGCUCGCAGUCGUCCAAGAGCACGAGCAACUAUUCGAUGCAGUCCACCGUCGAGAGCAAUUAUAAUCCGGUCCAGUGCGCCGGCAAUCGACAGCAGCCCAUAGGAAUUCGCGGAGCCGAAAGUUGUUCCGGCGCAGUGACGCACCGAUACCAAAUGCCUCAUCAUCAGGAAUACCAGACGGACGCAUCCUCGGGCAGUGCUCAGCAGCACGCGAUCCUCGGCGGUCACAUCGAUCCCGGGAUGAGCGCUGAGGAAGAUCAUCAGCAGCAGGCACUGCAGUUGGAAAAGUAUUUCAAGUAUUCCCAUCCAACGAGCGUGGCACAUUCGAGCCUGUCCUCGCAGAGUAUGUUGGACAGCAAUCAUAACUACGCCAGCGAUCUGCGCUACUACGGGGCACCGUCCCAGUUGGACAUAUCGAACUCUCAGUGCAUCGUCGACGAUCAGCAGAGCAGCAAGGACGUUCGUUGCUCCAACGUCGCGAUCGGUCACACCUUGGAGCAAUAUCAUCAACAGAGUUUAGAAGUGUCCAAGUAUCCGGAUCACUCGGCCGCCCAACAACAGCAUCAACAGCCGCAAUCGCAACAGCAGCAGCCUCAGAGCAUGGAGCACGUGCCCAAGGCUGACGAUGACUUCAGUGUUAUACUUGCGGACGUGCGCAAGACCUGCUACAGUAGCUAGUGUUUUCUUUUUUCUUUCAUGUUUCUACGUUUUUUUUUCUUUUUUGAUUGGUUGACCACUGACGUGUGGAUUAUUUCGAAAAUAGUUCUUUCAGAUCAUGAUUGGAAAGAACAAGAAAAACUUGUUACACGGUUUUAUAUCAUCAUACUUUGGUGCUACUCGAAAUAUAUCAAGGCAAUUUUAUCUCGCGAUAGAAGGUACGUCUCUCUUCUCGUUAAUUUCGAAAGUAAUAUUUUAAUUUUGAAUCUUUACAAGAAGAUAUCGAUUUGCAAUUCGAUUUGUUUAAAUUUUAAAUCUAGCAACAUUUAAUUUUGCAGUUUUUAACUUCCAUUUUUAUCUUUGCAUAUUUGUGCAAUCUAUGAUCUCUUAUAGAUUUUAGUUCAAUUGAAAUUACACAGUCAUCAAGUCAUUAACAUGAUUAUCAUCUAUCGAGCUGAGAAGAUCUCAUAUAAAACGUAAUGACAGGCUGCUAAUGGUGCACGGCUGAUCUAAUGUAGCAUAAACAGAGAAGAUUGUACACUUCUGUAGAUGUCACUUCUGUAGUUCUCCACUAUCAAAGGUAAUAUAGUAGCAAAGAUAAUAGCGAUAGAGAGAGAUAUUUUAAAUUUAUAUUAUUAAAUUAGCAAACUUUUACAUAUCAGAAAAUGUUUUGCGUCAACAAGUACAUAUAUUUUUCUCCGAUAUAAUAUAUUAUGUUCAUUAGACUCAUUUGUCUUGAAAUUUUUUAUCAAAAAUCUACUUCUAACGUAAUAACAGAAACUCUUAAUAUAAAACUGAAACAUUCUUGUAUAAAUAGUUUUUUUUUGCUCAUCAGAAUAAUAUUUCUAGUGUGCGAAUUAUGCAUUAAGUAUUUGAUAAAAAUCCAAAUGAUGCAAAACAUCUUUGAUGUGUACAAAGAUGUGUAAAGAUUAGUGGGUUAAACUAAAUUAUUAUUACUAUUAUUAUUUUGCUAUUAAUAAUUAAGAUUAUUAUUAAUGUAUCGUACUUAAUAGAAUCGAUCACGAACAAACAUUUAUUCGCAGAAUCGAUUACGAACAAACAUUUAUUUGCAUAUAUUCUUCAAAGAAUAUCUUUUUACAAAAGAUAUACGUUAUUAUCGAAUCGUUGUAUAUUGUUUACUUUAUUGUAGCGCACAUAUGAUAGGCAUAUAGCAUAUGUAUGAGAUGCAUACAUAUACAUAUAUUAUAUCACAAAGUAUUAUGUGCUCCUCAUAUACAUAUAUAUCACAUUUCUAGUUAAAUUUUUCAUUAAGACAUUUGAUAAACUUUUACAGUGAAUUUUUUGAAAAACUUUGAUAUUUUUUGCGAAAUAAUUAUAUGUUGUACAAGUAAAUAUAUUUUAAUUAAGCAUGUAUUUAAAACAAUCUUUCAGGAUUAUUGUUUCAAAUUUAUGCAGCAUUAAAACACAUCUAUGUAUGUAUAUUAAUUCUUUUUAUUAAAUAUAUAUAAAAAAUAUGUGUAUAAGAUACAACAUUAUAUGUGUAAAGCUGAAAUCAUACAUAGUGUAGUGAUACCCAUAAUUUACAUCAAAGGGGGUUGAUACAGAGUGAUUAAACUCACAUACAGUGAUUGAUAAAUAUUUCAUUAUAUAUGUACAUA